CAGCAUACCUGGUAGGGAAGAUACUAUGAUGAUGAAGGUAGUUUUCCCAGGGUGAGGCUUAUUCAUUACAUGUAGGAUGUGUUGGCUCUGCAGUUUCCCCAAAUGUAGAAAACUUGACUGCAUGAUUUCUGGUAGUGGGGGACUGUGUUCAUGCUUUCCCUUG
ensembl:snRNA U1 U1 spliceosomal RNA